UGGCUUUUUGAUUCUUUCUGUUGGUUUCCCCCAAUCUGACCCAAUUUCUUCUUUCCUCCUCUUCCCCAGUUACCACCCCUUCACGUUUUGCAUCUCUUUUGUUUGUUCUGAAAAAUAAAAGGAAUAUACAAUAAUAAUAAAGUAAUUUUUAAAAACAAAUAUUAGCCUGAAAUACAAAAAUAGUAAAAAAUAAUAAUAAUACACCUAGUGUGUCUAAAGAUCACACAACCUCUAUAUUAGCAAUUAAAUCUGUACACAGAAGCUACUCAGAUACAAUCUGCAAGACGGUACAAUAAACUAUUCAUUUUGCAUUGGCAACAUAAAUACAAAUGUUUAUGUAAAUCAGUAUUUCAGUAGUCCUGUGCUGCUGUACUCUCUGUAACACGACAAUGAAAUCCCCCCGGAGAGCAGACAGCAGGAGUCCUGCCUGCUGAUAUCAUCCAGUUUCCCAUCGCCUAAUCACGCUUUCACUCCCCUAUAUCCUUCCAGCGCAAUCCAACAACCGUCGAUUGUCUUUAUCAAUUAAGGUCCAGUGUAGCAGGCUAAAAGACAAGCCUUUAGGAAGCAUUAACUACUUUUGGAGAUGCUUUCUAGUAAAUCAAGUGCAUUAUCUUGUUAGUUUGUCAAUGGAAAAUUAAAAGGACUCCAAAUACGUUUUGCAAUGAAGCAAAAUAUAUUUAUUUUUUGGCAGAAAUAAGUGCUUGUUGGUCAGGGCUGUAACAGAGGGGUGCAGCGAUUAGUAUUCUCCCCUCACAACAAGGGGAGGUUCGAAUCCCGGCUAGUUCCUUUCUGUGUGGAGUUUGCAUGUUCUCCCUGUACAUGCGUGGGGUGUCUCCUGCCACUCUGACGUCCUCCCAGUCCAAAUACAUCCUUUGCAGACUAAUUGGUGUCUCUAAAUUGUUCCCUUGGCGUGAAUGUGAGUGGGUGUUUGUCUCUGUGCUGUGAUGAACUGGCAAACUGUCCAAGGUGUACCCAGCCUUUGCCCAUUAACCCUCAGUAGUUUCUGAACUCACCUCUGAAUCACAUCAACUGUUUACAAUGGCGCAGAAAUGACAGCCUCAUUAGCAUUGGUACAAUUCGAAGUUCAACAUGAAUUAUUCAAAAAGUUUUUAGCUUUGACAUUUUUGCUUUAAAAAAAAACAAGAGUUAUGAAACAUAAUUGUGGCACCCCUUGUAAUAAAUCCUACCUACCUCGUCUUUGUUAAGUUUAUGGAUUUAUACUUUUUUCCCUGUGUACUUGUUGGAUCUCUGUUAUGUAACAUAAAAACAGUUUGAGCUGAAUUUUUAUAAUUUCUGUUUAAAGAAAUGACAACAUUUACCACUCAGAAUUGAGCUUUUGGGAAAUUUUCAGGUUCAUUGUGGAACUAUUGUGUAAUAUAAUCACAAAUAUAAAUAAGAAGCUGGGGUUGUACUAAAAAGAUGGAUAUCAAGCAUUGUAGUAAAAACUGCUCAAAAAUGAGCCGCACUAAGUGUUAACUGGGUAGGCUGCAGCAACCCAGUGACCCUGAAUUGGACUACUGCAGGUUCAGAAAAUGGAUGGUUGGUUGUUGGUAGUUGUCCCGGAAACAACAAAAGAAGAUUUUGGCAGGAAGAUAGAGAUAUCCAUGACAAAUCCCUUUAAAGUUCUCUGAUAUGUGUUGCCAUCACACCUGAAGAAGAAACAAGACCUAAACUGGACUUUUGAUUGAGAGGGUGGUCAAAGAAAGUUCACGGUGUGGCACCUCCAGCACCUCAAAUCAAUCACUCCUCCUUCUUUCUUUCAUUUUUUUUUUGCAUUACUUGGAAAAAGAAGCAUGAUGUCUGUCAAAAAGUCAUUCGGUGGAAUUUAUCAGUCACUGAGGGGCAAAAAAUGGAGGAACAGCCCGUUGUUGAUCUUCAGUAUCCUGGAAAGCUUUGCUCCAUCUGUCUGCCUAACAGACCAUCCCCAUCAGAUAUCUGUCAGGAAUCACAGAGAGGCCCAUUACUGACAGAAGAUAAGACCUAGGAAAAGACUGGCCCUCAGAUAAUACUAAAAAGUUAGGGAAACAUCUUCCUUUGCCCACAAGAGUUUAGAAAACAAGGAGCUCCCUGACAGCCAGUGAGAAAUUGAACCUGCCUCUGCUCUGUCAGGAGCUCAGCUGCUCCAAAAAAAAGAGAGAGGCCAGUAGUGACCUUGGAGGAUUCUCCGUUGCACCUUAUCCUCUCAUGUUAUUUUUUUCAGGGGCUGAUGGUUUGAGUUCACCUUGAAAAAAAGAAGCUUCGGACCAGAUGACAGCAUGAAGCAUCAAAAACACAACUUUGAUACACGCAGAAGGGGACUGCACCGCCUGGUCGUGAGAAGCAUUGAGCCAGAAAAGAGAUGAAGGUGCAGCUGCAGCCGGGCAAACUGGAUAGUAUUUCAGUCGUCUUCCAAUACUAAGAAUAGUCAGCCAUGUGUCUGAAGCAGCAAAACAUGGAGAAAGCAGCUCACACCCUGAACAACCUUUGCCCAACAGCAAAAGAUUUUCUCUCUGCAACAUGUAAAAAGUAUUUUUCAUUCAUGCAUGCAUUCAGAAAACCCAUCAUAAACUCCUUCGUUUACAGCCACUGCCAGGUUCCUCUCAUUCCCCUCCUCAAUCUUACACAGACCCCAUCUUUUCCUCUUGAAGUGCCAGUGGCCUCUGGGGGGACAACAACGGACUGCUGGGUUGUCAGGCUGCAAAGCCCUUUGAGAUGGAAGGGGUGACAACAUAUGUCCCCUUAGGGGUCCAUAAGGGAUAGUAAGAAAAAGCAGAAUGGAAGGACAAAAUAAGAAGCAAAAGAGGGGAGAGGUGAGAGGAGAUAUUAUUUUGAUGCAAUUUAACAACACGGAAUACACAAUUUUGACUGAAAAUCAACCAUUUUAAACCUCGUCUUUUGCUGUUUUUUUUCCCUAAAACAAUAAAAAGUCUGUCUAUCCAGUAACAUUGUUCCCUUUAAUGCAAGUUCUACAUUUCUUCUAUGAGAAACAGGAAAUCACAGCUGUGUAAUGUGAAGGGGAAAGAGCUCACAUUUGCCAUUACUGUCAUAUAUAAUAUCUGUUAAAGGGUCGAAAAGCUCAGCAGUUACAAAGAGACAGACAGAAUAGGGAAACGCAGUGGGGCACUUGAGAGAAAAAGCCGGCUUUUGACAAGCCAACAUACGAUUUCAAAUACACAAUGACACAAGCUCUGAGUCAAAAAUAGAAAAGAAAGGCUCAGUAAAUACAGCACGGCUGCUUCUCACAAGAUAUGCAACAAUACAGUGUACAGCUUGUGUGAAUGUAUCUGCUUUAUUACAUGUGUUUAUGUGUCAACUGCCUCCAGCCUCUGAGCUGGCCAGCUUCUCUAUGAGGCCCAUCUGUGUAACCAUAGUGAUUGAGCAGUCUCUGUAUCUUCUCUGUGGGAUGUGAGUGAGUGUGUGCGUGUGUUACUUUUUGUAAUCUUUCCAUAGAAAACAGCUCACAGGUUGCAUGAUGAAUUCAUCUAAAAAGCUCAAUAAUUUUGCUAAAACUGCCACUGGCUAGCAGCUUCUGUCUGGAGGACAUUUGUGCCAGUGUGUGCGGGUGCAUGGCUUUUGGCAGCUUUGCAUCAUUUGAGUGGAAAGGGCAGGGUGACAUGCGCAGGGAAGCUGCUUGUUAAACUGAGAUAGAAACAGCGUGGCAUGUCAGCAGAUGUACACACAUACGGACCAGCUUCAUUUAUGGGGUUUUUCAAGUAGCAGUGAUUAGUCAGUUUUAAUCCUAAUGUCAGUGUGCACAGUUGACCAAAAAUAAAGUUGGUAAAGUUGUACCUUAUUAUUUUUGCCCUUGAGAUUUUCAUUGUUUCUCUGUUUUAAAAAAAAUGAAAAUACACACCCAUUUAUGAAGCAAUUUGCAGUUUUUCAGUCAUCUAACCCUUUUGGAAACCCAUCGUUUCUGAGAUGUUCUUCUCAUUGUAUUUCCUGGUGUCAUUUAGUCUCAUUGGAUUUUAGAUGAUGGGACUGGCAGAUUUUUGAGUUCAAGCUUUCAGGGAGCGUUGUUCCAGGAGGGGGGUUGGAGGAUGGAUGGUGUGUAGGUCCCCAGUCACCCACUGAUAAAAAUAACCACAGUGGUGGCUCUGUGGGGUGGGGCUGAGGAAGACGAGACGAUGGAUCCUAUAGUCAACGAAGGAACAAUAAAGGCACAACCCUGAGAUAACGUAAACACAGAUCAUAAUGUGGUUUCUGUUAAAGGUGCAUCAUAUAUUUUUGGAACAGUACGACUUGAUGAAUGAUAGCAUGAGAACUAAAAAUGUAUUUCCAUAAAUAAAUCAUGAUAAAAGAAAAACAGAAAAUGGAUAAUAGGUUCUGAAGUGCAGUGUUUUCUUUCUUCACUGAAAUUUACUUUUAAAAUAUAAGUUUGCAGAUUGCUGUAGAAAAUUAAGACUGAAAAUAAAAUAAAAAUACUAUUUUCUGAACCAUAAAGAGCAAUUAUAAACAUUUUUUUUAAAUGACAGAGCACCUUAUGAAUGCAUUAAGACUGGUUUUGCUUACUGAUGUCAAAGUGAUUUUAAGAGAUACAUGGCAUUCUGUCUAAAUGUUUGGUUGGGUAUUAUUGUGAAUAUACUGACAUGGCUAAUGCUUAGCGGUGUCAGACCCCGCAGCAUGUUUUGCCUGCUGCUGUGUUUUUUUUAUGCUAACAAGGUUGGGAGUUACAGGUAUUGUAAAUAUACUAACGCUUCCAACGUGUAGCAUGAAAAAAACAAAUUCUAGAGUUACUGUGAAUGUACCAAAUGUUUUGUCUUGAGUCGUUCUAUACCAAUAAAUUCAUUGUAGAUGGUUA